rnacentral:rRNA from 1 species
AACGAACGCUGGCGGCAUGCCUAACACAUGCAAGUCGAACGAGACCUUCGGGUCUAGUGGCGCACGGGUGCGUAACGCGUGGGAACCUGCCCUUAGGUUCGGAAUAACUCCCCGAAAGGGGUGCUAAUACCGGAUAAUGUCUUCGGACCAAAGAUUUAUCGCCUUUGGAUGGGCCCGCGUUGGAUUAGCUAGUUGGUAGGGUAAAAGCCUACCAAGGCGGCGAUCCAUAGCUGGUCUGAGAGGAUGAACAGCCACACUGGGACUGAGACACGGCCCAGACUCCUACGGGAGACAGCAGUAGGGAAUAUUGGACAAUGGGCGAAAGCCUGAUCCAGCAAUGCCGCGUGAGAGAUGAAGGCCUUAGGGUUGUAAAGCUCUUUUACCCGGGAUGAUAAUGACAGUACCGGGAGAAUAAGCUCCGGCUAACUCCGUG